rnacentral:rRNA from 1 species
CACGGGGGGAGCAAACGUUGUUCGGAUUUACUGGGCGUAAAGGGCGCGUAGGCGGCUCGGCAAGUGAGGUGUGAAAGCCCCUGGCUCAACCAGGGAACUGCGCUUCAAACUGCCGGACUUGAGGGCAGGAGAGGAAACGGGAAUUCCCGGUGUAGCGGUGAAAUGCACUGAUAUCGGGAGGAACACCAGUGGCGAAGGCGCGUUUCUGGCCUGUUCCUGACGCUGAGGCGCGAAAGCUAGGGGAGCAAACAGGGAUUAGAUACCCGCGUA